GACAGAGGUGGCUAGCGUUGUUCGGAUUCAUUGGGUGUAAAGGGUGCGUAGGCGGUUUAGAAAGUUAAAUGUGAAAGCCCACAGCUCAACUGUGGAAAUGCAUUUAAAACUCCUAGACUAGAGUGCGAGAGAGGUGAAGGGAAUUCCCGGUGUAAGGGUGAAAUCUGCAGAGAUCGGGAGGAACACCAGUAGCGAAGGCGCUUCACUGGCUCGUAACUGACGCUGAGUGCACGAAGGUAUGGGGAGCAAACGGG
rnacentral:rRNA from 1 species